rnacentral:lncRNA from 1 species
CUUUUUGGAGAAAGUGUGUCAUUGUGGGGCAGGUUUUGAUGUCUUCUAUGCUCAAGCUAUGCCCAGUGACACAGGCCCUUUAUGCUGCCUGCUGAUUUAAUGUGAGGAGCCGCCCUCACAGUCGCCGUUACAAGAUGGCGCUAACAUCCGUUGCUCGUAGUAAAAUGUGCGCAAGCAUCAGGGUAUCGUUCCAUUACCUGAGCCCUGCCUCUCUCGUGGCGUUAACUGACUGAUAGUGGGCAGCCAAUCCCGGUGGUGCACGUCUCCAACCGUUCUUUCGCAGCCUAUAAAAGGGAAGGGUUUUCUGCUCUCUGGGUCUCCUCUCCUGAGCUGAUCAUCUGUCUCUCGGGAUGAAAUAAAGCUUACUGCAGAAGGAUCUGAGUGGCCUGCGUGCGUUUUGCUGGCGAGAUGCUAGCGUGGGUCAUCUGGUGCCAGAAUCCCGGGAAUUAACAUUGCCGGCGUUGGGGAGAACCCCCGGAAACGGGGCGGAUUCAGAACUGCAGGGAAAAGGAAGAAGACAAUCCUCUUUGGGUUCCAGAACGCCUCACCCGAAGGAUCUCCCCUUC